rnacentral:lncRNA from 1 species
AGUCGAAGUUUAUCCAUUCCUUUUACCUUCGGGAUAAAAGCAAUAUCUGUGGGCCCCUCGAUGAUUUGAUGAUGACGAAUGGAAGUGCUCGGCCGGGCCAGGACUGAUUUGAUUUGUUUAAUUAGUCAGUCGUCAUAAAUCGGAAAUCGGAAAACAACAAAUGGACAGAGAGAAUGAUUAUAAUCCAUGUCUCAGUCCAUAUGAUAUCUAGAAUGGAGGAAUAUAUGAUCCCUUAUCUAAUGGACAAGUCAUUGACAAAGGUCAGAGUUCAUCGACAAGGUCAGAGUUCGACAGAAGCUUUUGAGAGCUACGAUUGCCAGUUGGUUCCUGAAGUCAUACGCAAUAAUAGUUUUAGACUUAUCCAAGUGGGAGACUGUUGGAUUAAUGUCUAAGUCCAUAACUAUAAUUGGUAAGACUUGACCCGACCCGGCAUGGUCCAUUUGGGUUGCAUACCAUCAUGCACUUGGAUAGACUAUAAUGAGAGAAAUAAGACACUUAUGGUUAUUAAUAUAUUAUAAGUUCUAGUAUAUUAAUAAUAAGAAUAAUAAGAUUAUUUAAUUAGUAUUGAUCAAGAAUUGAUCUAGGAUUAAUUAAGUGAUCAAAAGAAGACUAAUUAAAUAUAUGGGUUGAUUGUGUAAAUCAUCCAUACUUGUAUAGUGGGCUAAUGCUCCAUGGAUAAUCAAGUUGGGCUAAAACCCAUAGGAUGGUCCAUGGAUGCUCCAUGGUGUAUUUGUACCCAUGGAUCCAAGGAAAUGGAAAGCCAUGACAAUUAAGAGUUUACCCUAAUUGUGUAACUAUAUAAGCAUCUUAUUAUUGAGGAAAAAUCGGCCACUAGUAGUAUUCAAGAAAGGGCUAGCCGAUUUUGGUGAGUGUAGAAUUCUCUCAAGUCAUUCUAAGUGUUUUGAUGAUUGUGAUUCCAUUUGAGGUGUCACACUUGGGGCACUAAGCACUCAAGCUUCAUGAAGACUUUCUACAUCAAGAGGUAUGUAUUCUAUCUUGUUACAUUAUUGUUUUGUAUGCUAGAUUAGGAUAAUACCUUGGAAGUUCUUAUUUGCAUGUAUAAUAGAGAAAACAUAGAUCCAAGGUAUUUAGGGUUGCAUGUACACUUAGGAAGUGUUAGAAUGCUCAAAACCCAACAGUGGUAUCAGAGCCACGGGUUGUUUUCUGUUAUAUUGAUGCAAAUAUUUUAUUUUCAAAGUUGAAAAAAAAAAAAAAAAAAAACAUGAAGUUUGUCAAAUUUUAAGAUAAUUACUUGUUCUUGUGAAAAACUAAUUAUUUGUAAAAUUUGAAUAAUUUGCUUUAUGAGUUGAAUUAGGUCAAAUUUAAUAAAAGAUAAAAUAAUAUGAUUAUUUUAUUAGUUUUAAAAGUUUGAUCUAAAGAGUUUUAUUUUUUGAAACCUCCAUAAGUUAUGGAUAUGAAAAGGUUUUAAAAAAAAAAUUGAUUCAAAGUUUUUUUGGAGUUACAAAAUUUGGUGUUAAUGUUUUAAAGGAUUCCAUAACUUAAGAAUAAGUUAUGGAUCACCAAAAGUUUUUUGUGUUACCUUGUUUUAUGAGUGAAUUUAGAUUAAUGAAUAAAAUUAUGUGAUAGUUGGUUUUAAUCCAAAUUAAUCUAAGAAUUGAUUCUAAAAUGUGUUUUUGUAACUUGUCCUCAAGUUAUAUGAAAAGUCACAUUUAAGAAUCAUAAAACUCAUAAAAAUUGGCAAAGGUUACAAAAAUGAAGAGUCUAGUUCUAAUUAAAUGGUUUUAUGACUCCAUAACUUGUCCUCAAGUUAUGGAGGACCAAGAGUCUCUUCAUUUAAUAAAAUAAAAUAAAAAAAAAAAAAGUGUAACCUUAAUUAAUUCCAUAAGUUAUAAAAUAAAGAAAAGUUAAUUCUUUUAUUAGUUUAAAGUCUUCCAUAACUUGUCCUCAAGUUAUGGAACUUGAAGAGUUUUUGGAUUAAAACUACUUUAAACACAUAAGUUAUGGAAUUAAUUAGUUUUGAAUAGUUUCAAAACUUGCCCUCAAGUUUUGGAAUUUGUAAAGUUUUCACUUAUGAAUACUUUAAUUCCAAGUUAGCCCUUAGAAUUUUAAAAGUUAAAAUUCAACCCUUAUACUUUAUAAUAUUAUAAGUUAAUAAUAUAUAUAUGUAUAAGAGUAAAGUCAGUCUUACCGCUAGUACGCCUCAUUCACGAAGCCGGUCUAUAAGGUGGGUAUAAGGUUGUUGCCUAUAAAAUGGCAACUUAAUGGGUGUCCACUCUCACCCACCGCUUGCUUGACUGGUGGAGGGUCGUUAGCCGAACGGGUUUGACAGGACUAGAAUUCUCCCUUCAUUAAAAGUAUUAAUGAUAAUACUAAGUAACUAAACUCUUAAUAAUACCCAAUCUUAGUUACUUAGGAAAAAUGUGAAUAAGGUGCUAACCCAUGAAAUUACACUUUACACUUUGUCUAAGUCGUUAGUGGAGCGUGUGUGGUUAACCGGCACACUAACUUGGACUUAACAAGGUAGGUAAAGGGUGACUUAAUAUUUAUCAUAGUAUCGAUGGAGCGUGUGUGGUUAACCGGCACAUCGAUUGAGGGGUAAUUUAUUAAGGGUACCAAGUGAUUUGCAUGGUUACUUCACACCUUGUUUUGUGAUCCUCGGCAUCCCAGUCACAAAACCUGAAGGGCACACUCGAGAUUGAAACAUGCCUUUGAACAGUUCAAUGAAUCUCAAAGAUCUAGGAGUUUCAAAACCAAUUAAAACCUAAUAAUACAUUUCGUUUAUCUUGGUGGAAAUUGGUGAAUCGUCAUUCACCUACCUUCAAAUAUUUUAUAGCUUGGAUUACGGCAUACCUCUUCUAAGUUAUAAAAUAGUUUGUUGGGUCCUAGCCUUAAUAUUUCAUAUUGGGUGUCAUAUUAAGGACUUUAAAUCAACUAUCUUGAAUAUCUCCCAAAAGAUGUCUGUAAUAGACACCUAUGAUCUUCCCAAAUCUAGUGAAACAAGGUUUCCUAAAUGAAGAUGAUGUUCCUCAGAAAUCAUACUUCUUUCACCUCUUCAAAUUAUUCUACCUAACCCACAAGUUCUUGAAAAGUUUAAGGUCACUCAAUACCUAUUGGCAAGGCAAUGUCUAGGUGUGGUCACAUCUUGGAGGUGUUUCCACAUAUUGACAAGCCGGGAGAGUUGGGUGUCAAAGUCUUGAGAAAGUUGGUGGUUCAAUCACUUUCUAAGUCACAUAGUGAGUUCCUUUGGGACACCUAUGAAACAGACUAUGACAAGACCCUUAAUGAUCUUAUCUAUUUGCUAAGAUCAACUUCCUAAAACUUUAUGGACAUUGACAAUGAUGACAUUGGAUAUCCAGUAAAGCAUUCUCUUCCCAAUGGAAAGGGAUCGGCCAUAGUCAACUCGGUUGACCAAAUGGUAAAGAGAAAAGCUAAGUCUGUGAUAGUCUCGUGUACCAUUAUCAAAGGGUCCAUAUGUUUAUAUUGCCAAAGGAAGGGGCAUUGGUUGCGAAGCUGCCAAAUUUACCUAAGGAUGUUAAAGUCAAUAAGUUUGACUCUACUUCAGGUAAAGUCCACUAUCUAACUCUGUUAAGUUUCUAUUCUGAGAUUCCUGAUACAUGAUGUGACUGGGUCACAUGGUGAUGUUUUAAGAAUCAAAGAAAAGUGAAGAAACUUAAAGAAAGAAUAUGCUGAAUCUGAUGGCGUAGAUGGAUUUCUAUCGCAUAGUUUGAAGAUCGGAUUCUUGAGCAACUUCUUAGGAGUUAUGAGAUAUUGCUUAGGAAUAGAUAACAACAAGUUUUCAUAUGGAUUGUAAGGAUAAGUUUUUCCGCAAAGUUUUAAAAUAAAAGAAAAUUUUUGAUUUUAUUUAUUUUAAAAUAUCCUUACAAUGGCAUUUGAGGAAAAAUUGUUGCUUAUAUGAUUCCAUUAAUAGCAAGAGUGGAAAUAUGAAAUUGAUUCUUUCAUUUGUGGUAAUGUCUAGAUUUACCAAAUAAGGAAAGAUUCUCAUCACCCAAGUUUCAAUUGGACCGGAACUUGGAAUCAUGCAAGUUGUAUAGCAUGAUGAAUGAGAACUUUCAAGUUUUGGAAAAUUAAGACUAAUUACUCGGCCACAUGGAUGUGUGAGUCAAGUAAAGGACUAAGGGAUCGAGUACACAUUCUUGUGCACUGAUUAAGUCCACCACAAAAGAUUGAUAAGACUAUUCGUCAUAGUUUACUAAAGCUCAGUAAAUAUGAUUAUACUUACAAGCUUAAGUGUAACUCUGAGACAUUGGAAAAGGUUCCAAUGUAUGGCAGAGCGAAUAAGAAGAAUCAAAUUAGGCAGAAGGAUAAAAGUUUCUCAAAUCUGAAAAGAUGGGAGAGUACUUUAGUAUCAGUUUUGUGAUCAUCUUAAUGAUUAAGAAACCAUAUCAAAAUUAGUUCUCUAAGGAAAUCUUAGUGCAUUCUUAUGACUAAGAAGAGGAACUUGAAUUGUUGAAAUGGUUAAAUCAAGAAGAUGAGUCAUACUUCGUUCCAAUACAAGUCUUAGAGUCAUACUCCAAGAUUGUAACUUGAGUGACAUGUCUUAAAGAAGGUUUAAAACACUUGUCAAAUGUAAGAGUAAAAGUUUUCUACUCUUGUACAUUUGAAAUUGGUAAGUUGUGAUGUUUUGGAUAAAACAAAGACCAACUUAGGCCAAUUGUGUGAAGUGUUUGUCUUGAUUAGAAUCCACACUAUCUCUUGGAUAUUUGACAAGGGAGUCUUAUAGGUCAAGAGGUCAGUGGGAGUCUUAAAGGUCUUGAAAGUCUCAAGAACUAAUCAAGAAUAAAACCUAAAGUUCUUCACUAGCACACAACUUGAGGUUCAUAACCUAUCGUGUUGACAUAUUCUGUGCCCAUUCCAGUUAAAGUUGGCUUUGCAUAUGAGUUCUUAGAGUUCUCAAUUUGUUGCACAACAACUUGGAAGCAAUGGUAGGCCCUUGAGCUGCCAGGUGGCAAGAAAUUAAGAUUGAGUUCAGUCCAUAUGAGUUUGGAUUUGUCAUUAUCCUUGUCUUGUGACUAUGGUUUUGACAAUUCACAUGGAUAAGAACACAUACACCAUUAAAUCUAAGUGUCAUAAGGUUUCUCUCCGAUUCAUGAAAAUGAUGGUGAGGAAACACUUUCACUAAGUAGAUUUUAGCUAGAUAGCAAUUGUGAUAUUUGCAUUCUCAAAGUCGUUAGUGGAGCGCGUGUGGUUAACCGGCACACUAAUUUGGACUUGUGAGAAGUGGCAAAAAGGUCUAAACAUUAUGAUUACGGCAUCCCUCUUCAUAAUUGUUUAGAUACACAAGUGUGCUAUCUAAGGGAAGGUGUAUGAUUUUGAUAAAGUUUUAUCAAAACAAUCUAGCAUCAGAAAUCUGAACUUUGGUAAGAAAGUCAAUGAAGUAUUGAUUUCUAGAAGUCCAGCUGAUUUCUGAGUACAUGUCAAAGCUAGUGGGAGCAUAAGUGUUAUGCUAAUAAUCAUCAUGUUAGUGGGAGCAUGAUAAUUAUGAUAAGUAUUGCAAGUUAGCAAUGUUAAUUAUAGAAAACAAAAGUUUCAAUUUGGAAAAAGUUGUUUUGCUAUAAUUAAGGGAGAGGAAAUUAUACUUCAUCUCAAAUCUAUAAGCUUAGAUCGUGAGGUUUUAAUCAUUUAGUCAAGGAUAUAUAUGAAUUUCAUGUUGGAAUGGCUCAACAUAAGGAAAUUCUGUAUAUGGGUCCAUUAUUUGCGUUCUAAAAUUCGAUUAUGAUUACGGCAUCCCUUUUCAUAAUCUGAAUUAUGAGAACUUGGCAAAUUGAAAUGGAAAUGUUAUAGCAAAAGACUGGUUUAGUCUUUAUGUGAGACAUCAUGAAUCGUGUCCCAUAUGCUUCGGAUAUAGGAUCGAUUACAUGUGCUAUAUUCAUCCGUUCUAAAAUUUUCCAAAUGCCUGGGGCAUUAAGAAGGGAAAAGGUUUAGAACUGGAUAUGACUAAAAGGAUUAAACAAUUGUCGAGGACAAUCUAAGGUUUACCAAAGAUUGGUUGCUCAAGGACAGUUGGAAGUAUAGUGAUAAUUCUGGAAGGACCAUAUUGACAUAAUCUGUAAGGAGGCAACUCUUGUUCAGAAGUGAUAGUCAAAAUGGAAUCUGGAAAUGUUUCAAAGUUAGAAUUUUCAAUCUGUUUAAGAUUAGGAAACUUAAUGCAAGAAGGAUGUUUCCAAGGAGCUGAUCUCCUUUGGAAUACUCUGUAAUGAUUGUUGUCAAGUCUUUCUGACUUUGUGCAUAAUCAUUACAAGAGGAUCAAUGCAUAUAAGUUUAGAAUCUAACAGAUUUCAGUAAAUGGCAUGAAUUUGGAAUUCUUGCAUUUGCAGUAAGGAUUUGGGAGUGUGAAAAGAGAAUCAUUGAAGUUAUGUUCAAUUGAUCUAGUUCACAAAGUAAAGAUCAUAGACAAACAUAGUAUGCAUACUUGGUGUGUGGCAUGACUAGUGUUUAAGAAAACAUAGUGUACAUGCUUGGAGCAUGGGACAACUAUUGUUUUAAAUUCAAGAAUAAAGUUGAUAGCUGAAACAGUAUACAAUGAAUAAUGUGUAAUCAUAUGGUGAUAAAUAAAAGGUGUUUUAUUUAUGUUCAUAAGUUUUGAUACCAUAUUGGAUUCAAUUAUUAUUGUGUUUCACUUUGCAUGUUUUGACUUCCCGAAUAAACUAGGUUAUUCUUCCGGAAUGACUAAGUUAUUCAAACCAUCCACAGUCGGUCAUAUGUUGGAAGUAGAUAUGAAUUAAGACUGUCAUGGGUUGGCUUGUAGAGGUCUAAGGUGUUGGACAAAGGGCUACAACACUCAUGAGUGCUCAUAAGUUCUGAGUAUUGGAUUCAACCCGCGCUCAUUGGAAUCACUUCAUGGAUUUUAUCACGAGUGAUCAUGAGACGAUAAUAUCUUAUAUUCUUCAAACCUAGAGAUAUGAGUUGUUACUAUGAGUUGAUAGUACAUUGAUUGCACGAAAACGCAUUUGGUAACUCGGUGCUAUAAAACGUGCCUUUGUGUAUGAUUCAACAAGUAGUAGAACAAGCCAUAUGAGUCGAAGUUUAUCCGUUCCUUUUACCUUCGGGAUAAAAGCGAUAUCUGUGGGCCCCUCGAUGAUUUGAUGAUGACAAAUGGAAGUGCUCGGCCGGGCCAGGACUGAUUUGAUUUGUUCAAUUAGUCAGUCGUCAUAAAUCGGAAAUCGGGAAACAACAAAUGGACAGAGAGAAUGAUUAUAAUCCAUGUCUCAGUCCAUAUGAUAUCUAGAAUGGAGGAAUAUAUGAUCCCUUAUCUAAUGGACAAGUCAUUGACAAAGGUCAGAGUUCAUCU